CCUCCACUGUCUCACGCAGCCUGAGGACUGCGCUGCUAUUGCAGAUGGAGGAGCUGUGUCAAUGACACGGAAGCUGCCUCCUGUAGAGAGAGAUGGCACUGGCUGCAGCUAGGGGGAGCUCCAGAGCACAGCUCCUCCCGGGCCCUUAGUAAGCCAGCCGAGGGAAGCUCAGAACUCUCUGCUCCUCCAUGCUCUGGAUGAUAGCCAAAGACAGCUGAAUCCCGCCCUGCCCGUUUUUGUGCGCCCUGCCGCCCCGCCGUUUGCUGCCUGCCGGACCCCGCCACGUCGCCGGAUCCAGCCGUGCGCCGCCGGACCCGGGAGGUGUUACGUGGAGGAUCCCUGUUGCCAAGGAAGAGUCACCGUUACUAAGGGACAGGAAGAAUCUUUAAAAGGCGAAAAAGGGAGAAGUGGAAAAAAGAAGAUAGGAUGAAAAGAAAAGAAAGCUAGAUGGAGUGAGCAAGUUACAGAAAAAAGAAUUAUGAGAAGAAACAAGAGGUCACAUACAGGAGUAUGUGUCCCAUCCCAGUUUGCAGAUGUCUGAUGUCUGAGGUUGGACAAUUCCUUUAAAAGCAUAUAUUUGGCUCCACACCCUUUCAUCGGGAUGCGGUCAAUUUACCUACAAGCAAAAUCCCGACGGUCAAAAUCCCAACAACUAUUGACCAAUGGUAUAUAAACAUGCAGCUUGUAGAAAAUCCACUGCAGGGAAAGCUAAAGUUGGAACGCAGCUGCUUGGCACAAGGGCAUCAGAAGUUCAGCCUCCAGGAACAUUAGAAGAAUAUGCCUGCAAGGAGCAGGCACAGCUGGAGUGCACAGCAUGAGUCAAGAGACUUAGAGGGAGCGUGGAGCAUGUAUACUGCCAAGCCUACUGAUCUUAUUUUGUUGCUGUGUGAAGAUUAGUUUGUUUUUGUUCCUUAUGCCUAACAAUAAGAAUCUGAUCAAACAAUAAAAACCCUCUAAUUUCUAUUUUAUUAUCA